ACACGCAGAGAAUUAACAGCCAUUUAAAACAAUGAUUAUUUUUGUUAUUUUUAACAAGCACUGUCAAUUUGUUGUAAUUGAAUAAACUGUGUUGAAACAACAAUUAUUUUUAUCUAAACGAAUCAGUAAUAUUGUUGAAAUUACGGACAGCAUUCUCAAUCGGAUAUAUUUUUGAAACAACAAAACCUAGUUUCAUUUCAACUGGAAGAUUUAUUUGUUCCAAUUAUUUUCAUUGUUGGAGUGUUAAGUGACCCGCCAUUUUGUUUUUUUUUACUCUAAACAAAAGUAAAAAUGUCUGGCGCGGAAACAUUUAUUCGUUCUUCAGGAAAGGUUCAAUCAAUUGUUUUGAAACAUAUGAAACAACGAUCAAAACUAUUCUUGUGGAAUACAAGAUUGAAACGCUGAUACUAAUUUAGUAAAAGGAAGUUGAACUGCUAAUUUCAUGCCGUCGCUUGCGGAGCAGGAAUCCAAUGAUUAUACAUUUGGAGAGUGGCCCAGAUAAGUACAGCAGUAAUGUAAAAUGUAAAUAAAUUAAGUAUUAAAAAGCCAUACUCGUUUUUCUUCAUUCCAAAAUAAAAACAAAAUGAAAAGAGAGGGGACUGCGGCCAAUAAAAAGAUGUUAUUAUUUCAAAUAAAUAUAUUAUAAAAUCAAAAAACAGCUAUGCUUUGAUAUAAAACAGUAAAUUUUCAUUUUAAUGCAAAAAUAUUGUUGUCUCAAAAGAAAAACGCAUUGAAUCAAAUAUUUCUUUUGUUGAACCGCGUUAUACCCAGCUGUCAAAUUCAACAAUAAAUAUUUUUGAACUAAAUCAUUUAUAGUUAUUGAAACAAUGAAAGGCUCUUAUAAGCCA